UGGCGACCGGCGCACGGGUGAGUAACACGUAUCCAACCUGCCGAUGAUUCGGGGAUAGCCUUUCGAAAGAAAGAUUAAUACCCGAUGGCAUAGUUCUUCCGCAUGGUAGAACUAUUAAAGAAUUUCGGUCAUCGAUGGGGAUGCGUUCCAUUAGGUUGUUGGCGGGGUAACGGCCCACCAAGCCUUCGAUGGAUAGGGGUUCUGAGAGGAAGGUCCCCCACAUUGGAACUGAGACACGGUCCAA
rnacentral:rRNA from 1 species